AGCCCUGAGUGACCGCAGCGCACGAGCGCGGGAAAAUGAGGCUGCGCGGGCUGAAGAGCGCACCGAGAGGAGCCGCCCCCGCGGUACCGCGCAGCCUCGCGUCCCGUCAGUGGGGAACAAGGUCUUGGAGUUAGGUCAACAGGAGAAGAGUCAAGUGAGGUCACAGAUGAGGUAAGAGAAACUUCUGAGGAUUUUCCUUGAGCCUCAGCAUCUGAAUCACUCCUUUGGCAAGAUCGAUAGUUGCUAACUGAUCCCGAUCUCUGUGGAGUAGCAGUCCCUGAUUUGGCUUCUGUAAUUUCAUCU
rnacentral:lncRNA from 1 species